AGCUGCUCUCUGCGGCGAUGUGGCAAGUGGCUCAGCGCAGAGAUGUUCUCGAUUACGAAAUGCUUGGUGACUUUGUGAAGUUGGUGACGGACACAGUGCCAGACCUGCUUAGUGCAAAGCAACGAGGCAAAUUGCUGCUUCGACUCCAAGCCAAAGUUAUACUUGAGUUGUGCAGAAGUGCGGAAACAGCCAAAACAUUGCAUGUGCAACCUCAUCUUGAAUGAAUUCGACCACCAGGAUACUCGGGAAGUGGAUAUGCUGAGGUGGAUGCAGAGGAGGCUAUAUUUGUAGAACUUAUCCAAACACUAUUGAAAGAUCCAGCCGAGAGGGAACACUUUUACCAGG